GCCCUUUGGGGUAAAAAGGUGGCCUCUGCUCCUGCAAGCUAAUACUUCAGGAAGGGUCCGCGUCCUAUCAGCUAGUUGGUGAGGUAACGGCUCACCAAGGCAAAGACGGGUAGCUGGUCUGAGAGGAUGGUCAGCCACACUGGGACUGAGACACGGCCCAGAGUCCUACGGGAUGCAGCAGUCAGGAAUAUUGCGCAAUGGAGGAAACUCUGACGCAGCGACGCCGCGUGGGUGAUGAAGGCCUUCGGGUCGUAAAGCCCUGUCGGAGGGGAAGAAAAGCCUGCUGGCUAAUAUCCAGCGGGCCCUUGACGGUACCCUCAAAGGAAGCACCGGCUAACUCCGUGCCAGCAGCCGCGGUAA
rnacentral:rRNA from 1 species